rnacentral:rRNA from 1 species
GACGAACGCUGGCGGCGUGCCUAACACAUGCAAGUCGAACGCUGAAGCCCGGCUUUUGUACCGAGCGGAUGUGUCGCGAACGGGUGUGUAACGUGAAUGUCCUCUGCUUGGCUGUGGGGGAUCUUCAUUGGACUCGAUAUCAUAUCCCGCAUAAGCGCCGGCGUCGUAUUGCGUUUUCUAAAAUGUUGCAAUUUCAUCAUUAACAGACGGCUCUGCGUUGUAUUAGUUAGUUGGUGAGGUAACGGCGCUCCAAGGCAUCGAUACAUAGCCGACCUGAGAGGGUGAGCGGCCACACUGGGACUGUGACACGGCCCAGAGGCCUACGGGAGGCGGCAGUAGGGAAUCUUCGGCAAUGGGCGGAAGACUGACCGAGAAACGCCGCGUGAGGAAGGAAGGUUUUCGGAUCGUGAAGCUCUGUUGUAAGAGAAGAACGAGUGUGAGAGUGGAAAGUUCACACUGUGACGGUAUCUUACCAGAAAGGGACGGCUAACUACGUG